UUCCUACGGGGCGCAGCAGUGGGGGAUAUUGCACAAUGGGGGGAACCCUGAUGCAGCGACGCCGCGUGGGUGAAGGAGUGCUUCGGCAUGUAAAGCCCUAUCGGCAGGGAAGAAGCAAGACGGUACCUGACUAAGAAGCCCCGGCUAACUACGUGCCAGCAGCCGCGGUAAUACGUAGGGGGCGAGCGUUAUCCGGAUUUACUGGGUGUAAAGGGAGCGCAGGUGGCAAGGCAAGCCAGAAGUGAAAACCCGGGGCUUAACCCCGCGGAUUGCUUUUGGAACUGUCUGGCUGGAGUGCAGGAGGG
rnacentral:rRNA from 1 species